GUGAUUUUAAUUAAAAAUAACAUUAUGUAAAGAAUGAUCGUAUUUUAAAUUCUCUUCAAACUUUUUAAUUCAUGGCACUAAAACUUUAAUUAGUCAAUUAAGUACCAAUUUUGAGCAUUACAAGGGUACUAAUCCUUACUCGUUCAUAACCAACUCCCGAACCUAUUUCCUGAAUUUUGUAGAUCAAAAGUCUUUGUUUUAGUAAAUCAAACGUUUAUUAAAGCGAUCAAUUUCCGAGAUAACCUUAUCACACCUCAUAAAAAAAAAUUGUUGACGACUCCAAUUUUUUUAAAAUAAAAGUCGAUUUCAAAAAAAGUGGUUUCGAUAAUCAUAACUUUCAUUCUAAUUCAAAAAAAAUUAAUCUUUCUAAAUUGAAAUGAUGAAAUAAUACCCUAUUAACUGUCGCCAAGAGUGCUUUGUCGAAAAAUCCUAAAGUGCAGUAGAUGCUGUAGUUUGGGAUGGAGGAAAGUGGUGAUGAUGAUAGAGGGGGGAGGGAUGAGAUUUCCUUUUUAGCAUAAGAACUUAUUCAAUUAUCGGUAAAGGAAUCGAUGGUGGUGCCAACUGACAAGCUGACUCUGAUUUGUACAAUAUGGACAAAGAAGUUUUACAAUCCUGAAAGUUUUAAAGCGCAGAUGAGAAGUAUAUAGAAGACAAAGAAAAACUUUGAGAUUAUGAUUGUAGGGCAGAAUUUAUUUUUGUUGGAGUUUGAUAUAGAUGAGGAUCUGGAGGCAAUUAUGGAAGGGAGACCAUGGUUUUUUCGAAAGAGUGUUAUUUAAAUCAAAAUACUUAAUAGCAUGGCAAUACAUUUGACAGUUUAACUAAACGGGCAGAGAGGGCUCAGAUCCGUCUGACAUCAUCACCGUUUUGGAUAAAAAUAGGUUCGUGUUUACCAUUGUUUGAUAAGAAGGAUCUUCUACAUGCCAUUGGUGUUACGUUUGGUAGGGUUAUCAGAUCUGAAAUCAAUGGGAAUUUAUGCCGAUUGAAGAUUAAUUUAGAUGUGCAAAAACCCUUACGAAGAGGUAUUUUUGUUUCAACCGAAAAUUUUAAUAAAUCUUGGAUUUCUUUUAAGUAUGAGAAACUUCCUAUGUUUUGUUUUGGCUGUGGAACAAUCAGACAUAAUCUCAAAGAAUGUCAUGUGCUAAACCCUUUUGAAAAAGAGAAUCAAAACUGAUCCAAAUUACACGUUGGCCUUAAAAGCAGAAUCGAAUUUAAUUGGGAAGGAGAAUAUGUAAUUUAACGCUUUUUCAAAUAAGGUGAGGGUUCAGAGCUCCUAUACAGGGGGUACAGAGUUGCUGUCAACCAAUUUUAUAACAUCUAUGGAGGAAAAUAAUACGGUUUGGAGAGCACAAAGGACAUCGAAAGACACAUAUGCAGCAGAGCCCAUUGAAAAAAAGCAAGAGGGAGCUUCUACAAUAAGAGAAGAUGACGAGCUGGAUGAAAGCAAAACUAAGACGGUUAAUUUUUCAAAUAUUACAAAGAAGACAAGCUGGAAAAGAAGAGCUCAAAUUUUUAUGUUGAAUCAAGAAAAGAGUGAUAAUGGUACAAGGAAGAGGAAGUGCAUGAUGAAAGGAUAAAAAGAUUGAAACAAGGGAAAGAGGGUCGUGAGAACGUUCCAUCUGAAGCAACGUUGGAUACUAUGGAACAGGAAGAUGCUCCACAAUUUAUAGGAUCGGCGGCUGCGAGUAGGCAAGCCGAUCGAAUACAAUGAAAAGCAUAAGCUGGAAUGUCCGUGGAUUGGGGAGUUCAUGGGCAGUGAGAAGGCUGCAGUACUUUUUAUAGCAGUAUAAUCCCCACAUGGUCUUCUUAAUGGAGACAAAAAUUGAUAAGCAACGUAUGGAUAAAGUUAGGAGAUGUGGAUAUCUGAAUGGGAUUGACGUUUAAGAAGAGAGUUCACGAGGUGGUCUAUGUUUAGCCUAGAAAGAUGAUGGCUCUAAGGAGUUUCUCUAAAAAUCACAUUAAUGUCAUGAUCAAAGAAGCAAGGGGACUUCAGUGAAAUUAUGUAUUCUUUUAAAAAGAAGGGAGGGGCACCUAGGGAGGAGAAGAGAAUGGAGGCAUUCCGUGAGACUCUUGAAAAAUGUCAAUUAGAAGACAUGGGAUAUUCAGGGGCUUAGUUUACAUGGGAAAGAGGUAACUUGCCUGAAACAAACAUAAGGGAAAGACUUGACAGGGGAGUUGUGAAUGACAAAUGGUGGCAACUUUUCCCAACGAGUUAUAUUCAACAUUUACCUCAUUCAAUGUCUGAUCAUUGCCCUCUUCUUCUAAACACAAAUAGCGAAAACACUCACAGGGGAAAUUUAAAUUUCAAAUUUGAAGCAUGGUGGAUCAUGGAAGAAACGUUGGAAGAUAAAAUUAAGGCAUCAUAGGGAUCAUCGACAAACAUAAUAACGAAGAAACUCAAAAGAUUACAAUCUAAUCUACUGGCAUGGGCUAGAUUGAUCAAAACUGAGACAGACUAAAGAAAAAGCUCACAAAGGAUCUUGAUAUCUUAAUGGAGGAGUUAAGGGACAAGGAUACAUUAAGCAAAAUUAUUUACACAAGGGUUUUUCUAAAUAUGAAAAUUGAUAAAGAUGAACUCUUCUGGGAGAAAAUGGCUAGAGCAAAUUGGCUUAAAGUAGGUGAUAAGAAUUCGGCUUUUUUCCAUAAGUUCGCCUCCUCCAGAAGGCGAAUUAACGAUUUCUCGGCUGGAGAUUGGAGGAAGAGAGAUUACUGAGUCAAGUCUGAUCAACGAAACUGCUACCUCAUUUUUUCAAAAGUGAUUCACAUCAAAUGGAGUUGGGAAUCUAUCAUAUCUCUUAAAUGGCAUUGAAAAUCGUAUCUCUCCAGUUGUUAAUCGGGCAUUACUAUUAGCUUAGUCUGAAGAAGAAGUGCAUUCAGCUUUAAAGUGGCCUACUAAAGCACCAGUACCUGACGGUUUCCCUCUUAUAUUUUUUCAAAAAUUUUGGCACAUAGUAGGGAAGUAGGUCACGAAGUUUUGUUUGGGAAUUUUAAAUAGUAACCAGAAUCUGGAUUCUAUCAACCAAACAGAUAUUGUAUUGAUUCCAAAAAUCCCAAAUCCUGCAUGUCCGGCCAAUUUCAGACCUAUAAGUUUGUGUUCAGUCCUUUAUAAAAUGGUGGCAAAAACAAUUGCUAAUCGACUUCAAGGAGUAAUUGAGAAAUGUAUUGAUGAAGCUCAGAGUGCAUUUGUCCCAGGCAGAUUGAUUUCAGAUAAUGUGCCUUUGGCUCAUGAGAUUUUGCAUACUUUUCAGAAUAAGCGAACAGGUAAAAAGGGAUAUAUGGCAAUCAAACUUGAUAUGAGCAAAGCCUAUGAUAGAGUUGAGUGAGUUUUUCUUAAAGAAGUAACGAUGAAAAUGGGCUUUGCAGGGGAAUAGGUGGAGUUAAUCAUGAAAUGUAUUAGUACAGCGUCUUUUGCAGUGAAUACAAAUGGGGAAGAGGAAGAAUUUUUCAAUCGACUAGGGGUUUACGUCAAGGAGAUCCCCUUAGUCCUUUUCUUUUUUUAUUUUAUAGUGAGGGUCUUUCAUCCUUAAUGCAUUUGGCAAUGAAGGAAGGUCCGAUGAAAGGUGCAAAGGUUAGUAGGAAAGGCCCGGAGAUUUCAUAUCUCCUUUUUGCAGUCGAUUGUAUACUGUUCGGGGAAGCAUCGGAUAGGGGGCGAGAAUUUUAAAGGGAAUCCUACAGGAGUUCGAAAGGUGUUCAGGUCAAUGUGUCAAUUUUGAUAAAUCUACUAUUUUCUAUAGUUCUAACACAUCAGAAGAGAAGGAAAGCGAAGUCUUAACAAUAUUAGGGAUAAGAAGAUCAACAAAUAUAGAAAAGUACCUAGGCCUUCCUAAUAUGAUUGGCAGACGGAAGAAUGAGUCCUUUCAAAAUCUAAGAGAGAAGAUUCAGUCUAGAUUUAAAGGAUGGAGCACAAGAUUCUUAUCACAAGGGGGAAAGGAAGGUUUCAUAAAAUCAGUACUUCAAGCUAUCCCAACCUAUGCUAUGUCCUGUUUUCUUUUACCAAAAUCUCUUUGUGGGGAGUUUGAAUGCAUUUUUGCUAAUUUCCGGUGGCAGAAAGCACAAGGAAAAAGGGUAUCCAUUGGUGUUAGUGGAAGUAUUUAUGCCGAUCUAAGGAAGAAGGGGGAAUGGGUUUUAGGAACAUGGCACAAUUUAACGUCUCACUACUAGCUAAGCAAGGCUGGAGAAUUUUGAAUAAUCCAAACUCAUUGGUUGCGCAAGUUUUAAAAGCAAAAUAUUUUCCGAGUGAAAAUUUUUUUGAUUCGCGUUUGAAAUACAACUGUUCGUAUGCAUGGAGAAGUAUAUGGGCUACGAAAGGCAUUUUAGAGAAGGGAUUGUAUUGUAAGGUGGGAAGGGGUACAAAUAUAUCAGCUGUAAAUGACGUUUGGAUUCCUGAUUUAAGUUUCACCAGAUUAUCAUCUUUAGUUUAUAAUUUGAGUGAUGUUAAAGUUGCUGAGUUAAUUAACACUAAUAGUAGACUGUGGAAAAAAGAGUUGAUUGAGUCUACCUUUCCAGAAGAAGUAGCUGAUAGGAUUCUUCGCAUUCCACUGGCAGUUGAGCCUCACGAUGAUCUUCUGGCAUGGAGUGGUGAGCCUUCGGGUGAGUAUACAGUUCGUAGUGCCUAUAAACUAUUACAAAGUUUGGAUGAAGAUCCUAGAGCUUAUGAGUUACAAACCGACCACAAGGGCUUCUAUAAAAAACUAUGGCUACUUAACCUACCUUCAAAAAUAAAAAUAACAGUAUGGAAAGUAACAUGGAACUAUCUUCCUUUACGGGCAAACAUGCAACAAAGGAGAUUGACAAACAUUACAAUUUGCCCGAGGUGUGGGAGUGGGACAGAGAUGAUGAAUCACUUAUUUAGAGAAUGCCCGGUUUCAGUAUCAGUAUGGGGAGAAUUAGCAUGCCAGAUUUUUCUAUCUGAAUAUAAUUUGGAGUUCCCAGAGUGGCUAGUCUGGGUCUUUGAGCAGAGUAAUCCAGUCCAGUGUAGGAUUUUCUGCUGCACUUUAUGGGCAAGCUGGGGAGAUAGAAACGCAAGAGUGCAUAAGAAGGUUAGUAAAUAUGGAAAAGAGAUAGUAAACUUUGUCCACAGUUAUAUUCUUGAAUUAAAUGAGAUCGAAACGAGAAGGCCAAAAGUUUUUCCAGUUGUCAGUAAAUGGAAGCACCCACCUGAUCAGUUUGUGAAGAUCAAUUUUGAUGUUGCAUAUGAUGUGAGAUCUUCUCAUGCUGCACUCGGAAUUGUGGCCAGGAACAGCAAAGGAAAGGUUCUCUUGGCAUGCUCGGAAAUCCACAAUCAAGUCGCCUCAGCCUUUGCUGCUGAGGCAAUCGCGUGUAGAAGUGCAACUCAACUCGGCAUGGACAUGAAAUGGGGAAACAUUAUCAUUGAAGGGGAUUCAUUAACAAUAAUCAAGAAGUGCAGAACAAAGAUCCAAGAUAAGUCACUGAUAGGGGCGUAUAUACAUGAUAUUCAACAGAUCUCGCUUAAAACUCAAAAAUACAGUUUCGAAUAUACUCCAAGAACAGCAAAUCGUCUAGCACAUUUCAUUGCAAUCGAAACAAUGAAAAGCAAGAAGGAAGUUUACCUCAUAGGAAGAGUCCCCGAAUAUGCAGAAAAAUUGAAGGAGAGGGAUAGUGUGAGAGAACCAGAUUGAAGGAAAUGGAAGGUUGAAGAUGGAAAAUGGAGAGGUUAGAGUGGAUAAUCAAUAGGCUCGGCUAAGAAGCUCUCAUUGGGAAUCUGGAAUCGUCUUUAACAAGUAAUGUCAGAUGAUAAGAAAAGACGAUUUUUCCAAAGCGUUUUCAGAUUGGGAAUAGUGAUAAAUAAUGAAUGCGUUUUACAGAACUUUAUUGUUUAGUUUUUCUAGAAUUUUUCCGUUUAUUUAUUGUUUAGUUUUUUCUCUUUUUGGGCUUUUGUUUAUUAGGUCUCUGGUUUGUUUCUAGGCCAUUGUUUUUCUGGGCUGUGAGUUAAGGCCUGUUUUUUUCCUAUUUCUUAAAUAAAAUCCAAUCUGAUUAUUG
rnacentral:lncRNA from 1 species